rnacentral:lncRNA from 10 species
GUUGGGGAAUGAGGAAUCUGAUCAGAUAGCAAGGGUAAAGAAUGUUCACUAAACCCAGCAGGAUUCUUGAAAGAUGGACUAAAUGGACCAAGGACAGAGCCCAAGAGUGAGGCCUAAUCAAAAAGAGGACUUGGAGAAGCAUAACUGAAGUUUGGUUAAGGAGAGAGUCUCAGUCAUCAACAGAGAGAGACCCAACUGAAGUGAAAGUGACUACCAUUCCUGGGGCACCCCUGACAAAGGGAGUCAGUGGGCCACCAGAUGGAGGAAGACUCGGUGCAAUCCCACUGGUACCUGAGGCAGCAGAGUGGAUCCUUGUGAUGAUAUUGGGCCGACCUGGAUGGAUAAUCUAGAAUAAUCUCCCCAUCCGAAGGACUCUAAUUUAAUCACAUCUGCAAAGUCCCUUUUGCUAUAUAAGAGAGAAGACGUACAACAAUAACACUUGUGAACCUCUGUUCCCGUCUAAGGAAGCAUCUCAGUUCUUUGCAAAAGCCUGGCUAGAAGGGAGUUUCUCAUUGUCUAGUGAGUGCUGACUCUGGAGGGCUGUCUCCAAAAGAAUUUAACAGGGCCUCCACCCAUUUCCCUCUCAGCUCCAUGUACAUUGUACCACUCAAACCUCCCACAGGUGAGAAAGUGAAAGUAUGAAAAGUGCAGAACGCCCCCUCUUUGACCUACAACAAGUUAGAAGAAGCCAGAAAUAAAACCUCUCAUUUUAUACCCCAGUGAACACAUACUUGUUGAAUCCCUUCCAUUAUGCAUGCUGGGGUACAGAUGAGGUCCCACUGCCAUGCAGUUAUAUUCCAGAGCAGGAGACCUGCUACAGGGAAGCCACAGUUCCCAUACUCAAAUGCCUUGCUGGGCUAUGCAAAGAACUCACAUGUGUGAAGUAGUCAAGGGUGAGAAUACAGGGAGUGGUGAUUAUGUUGAGCAGGAGAGUUUCUGCUUGUCUAAAGACAUUCAAUUCAAAAUUGAUCUAUGACCACUAUGCUGGCCAAGGAAAACAAGCCUGCAACUUAGAUCAGCACCCCCAACUCAUCAUCUACAGGGUUGCCAUUCCCAAGGUAAACAGAUUGAUAAAAUAAUUUCAGAUAUUGACACAUUUUGUGAGAAAAAUAAGGCAGGCUUAUGUGAGGGCAAUCACUUAAUGUGGGGGAGGGAUGCUCUGGCUUUUCAGGGAAGGCAACCUAUUCCAGGACACCAGACAUCUUUGUCUCUACCAAGAAUUUCCAGUGAGGAACUCAGAUCUCAGAAGAGGCAUCUUCUCUGUCCUGUGGUUAUAAAAUGAAGUAACUCAAAAUUCCAUUUUGAUGAGAAGGGGUAUUAGAAUAAGAAGAAAAAUUGUCUCUUCUUUGGAAAAUCUUAUAAACCACAAAUGGAGUUGAAAGCAUCAGGUUACAGCAAACCUAGGUAGAAUCUGAUAAGAGACAGUUAUCUUAAUAGAAAAGUGCUCUUUCAUUUUUCGUAAUGCAUUCCAG